UAAAAGUGCGUGUCCAAAGCUGA
rnacentral:piRNA from 1 species